UACGUAGGGUGCAAGCGUUGUCCGGAAUUAUUGGGCGUAAAGAGCUCGUAGGCGGUUUGUUGCGUCGGCUGUGAAAACCCGGGGCUCAACCCCGGGCCUGCAGUCGAUACGGGCAGACUAGAGUGCGGUAGGGGGGACUGGAAUUCCUGGUGUAGCGGUGAAAUGCGCAGAUAUCAGGAGGAACACCGGUGGCGAAGGCGGGUCUCUGGGCCGUAACUGACGCUGAGGAGCGAAAGCGUGGGGAGCGAACAGG
rnacentral:rRNA from 1 species